GCAUAACACUCUUUCUCUCUCUCUCUCUCAGAUCUCGGCACUUCAACACAAAUUAACCCUAAUUGUUUUUUUUUCCUUCAUUUUUAUACGAUCUCAGUUCAUCUGUUGAUCAAAUCGCUGCGGAUUAAGUGGAAGCCAUGAUAUAAUUUUCUUCCUCUCCUUGUUAAUUUCUUCAAUUUAAGAAACUCCAAUUUCGCUUGUUUUUGUUCAACUCCAUCUAUGUCACCUUCGUCGUCGCCGGUGCUUUCGUUGGUGAACGGAUUGUGAACCAGAUGAACACCAGAGCACUAGGUGAAAAAAGGGCUUUGGCAGCGGUUCAAACCCGGUCUAAGGCACCGGUUUGAACCGCUGCCUAUGUGG